rnacentral:rRNA from 1 species
CUGGAACGCGCCCCGGCGCACCCAGAAACCCUUUGUGAACUUAUACCUUAUUGUUGCCUCGGCGUAGGCCGGCCUCUUCUGAGGCCCCCCGGAGACGGGGAGCAGCCCGCCGGCGGCCAACCAAACUCUUGUUUCUUAGUGAAUCUCUGAGUAAAAAAACAUAAAUGAAUCAAAACUUUCAACAACGGAUCUCUUGGUUCUGGCAUCGAUGAAGAACGCAGCGAAAUGCGAUAAGUAAUGUGAAUUGCAGAAUUCAGUGAAUCAUCGAAUCUUUGAACGCACAUUGCGCCCUCUGGUAUUCCGGAGGGCAUGCCUGUUCGAGCGUCAUUUCAACCCUCAAGCCUGGCUUGGUGUUGGGGCACUGCUUCGAGAGAAGCAGGCCCUGAAAUCUAGUGGCGAGCUCGCUAGGACCCCGAGCGUAGUAGUUAUAUCUCGUUCUGGAAGGCCCUGGCGGUGCCCUGCCGUUAAACCCCCAACUUCUGAAAUUUUGACCUCG